UACGAACUGUGCGAACGUUAUUCGGAAUCACUGGGCUUACAGGGUGCGUAGGCGGCCAACUAAGUCCAGACGUGAAAUCCCGUCGGCUUAACCGGGGAACUGACUCUGGAUACUGGAUGGCUUGAGUUCGGGAGAGGGAUGUGGAAUUCCUGGUGUAGCGGUGAAAUGCGCAGAUAUCGAGGAGGAACACAAUGGCGAAGGCAGCGUCGCUGGGACGGUACUGACGCUGAGGCGCGAAAGCGUGGGGAGCGAACAGG
rnacentral:rRNA from 1 species